rnacentral:snRNA from 1 species
CUGCUUGUUUCGGUAGCCCGUAUACUAAAAUAGGAACAAUGCAGAGAAGAUUAGCACAGCCCCCGCGCAAGGCUGACACAUAAAUUCGUGAAGCAUUAGAGACAAAA